rnacentral:lncRNA from 1 species
UAGUGGAGCCAUGCGGAAUUCAUUGCAGAGAGUGGAGUAGGGUAGUGGCCAUUAUCGUGACUUGCCAGAGAGUUCGGAUCUGUCGGCUGGAGCUCGGUUGGGACAUCUGAUGGAGCGGAAUGGCUCUCCAUCCCAUCGAUUUGGGAGAAGCUCGGAUGUCUCCGAAGCUGCUAACGAGUCUAUUGUUGUCGAUACCUUAGGCGCUGAUACUACAGGUGGGAGUCAUCUGCUGUAGACGCUCGGAUGGAGACUUUCUGUUGGUGAAGCCC